rnacentral:tRNA from 1 species
AUAUUAUGAAAUAGUAAAGUAAUGUAUUAUAUUCAUAUAGGGCUUGUAGCUCAGUGGACUAGAGCGCGUGGCUA